rnacentral:rRNA from 1 species
GACGAACGCUGGCGGCGUGCUUAACACAUGCAAGUCGAACGGAAAGGCCCCUUUGGGGGUACUCGAGUGGCGAACGGGUGAGUAACACGUGAGUAACCUGCCCUUGACUUCGGGAUAACUUCAGGAAACUGGGGCUAAUACCGGAUAGGAAUCCUUGCUGCAUGGUGGGGGUUGGAAAGCUUCGGCGGUUUUGGAUGGACUCGCGGCUUAUCAGCUUGUUGGUGGGGUAGUGGCUUACCAAGGCUUUGACGGGUAGCCGGCCUGAGAGGGUGACCGGCCACAUUGGGACUGAGAGACGGCCCAGACUCCUACGGGAGGCAGCAGUGGGGAAUAUUGCACAAUGGGCGGAAGCCUGAUGCAGCAACGCCUCGUGCGGGAUGACGGCCUUCGGGUUGUAAACCGGUUUCAGCAGGGGCGAAGCUUGUGGUGACGGUACCUGCAGAAGAAGCACCGGCUAACUACGUG